CUGGAUUUCAGAGGAGUUGUUGACUUUUCAGUACGGCGACUGACACCUCAGACACGCGUUGGAGGGGCGGAGCUCUGGCUUCGGGGCUGUGCCCAGCGCGAGCGUGGCCGGCACCCACUUGCUGCAGAGCCGGCACUGUACUGGGGUCCUUGGGGGCGGUGGGGAAGGAGUGACUUCAGGUCAGACUUAAAGAAAAAUAAGAUGUUGCAGAUGACAGGGCAAUAGGGUC
rnacentral:lncRNA from 1 species